UACGUAGGGGGCAAGCGUUAUCCGGAAUUACUGGGUGUAAAGGGAGCGUAGACGGUAAUGUAAGUCUGGAGUGAAAGGCGGGGGCCCAACCCCCGGACUGCUCUGGAAACUAUGUUACUAGAGUGCAGGAGAGGUAAGCGGAAUUCCUAGUGUAGCGGUGAAAUGCGUAGAUAUUAGGAGGAACACCAGUGGCGAAGGCGGCUUACUGGACUGUAACUGACGUUGAGGCUCGAAAGCGUGGGGAGUAAACAGG
rnacentral:rRNA from 1 species